rnacentral:lncRNA from 1 species
GGACUUUGCAUAGCAACCCCGUGGCUUGCAACGACAAAAAAGCUCAAGGCAGGAACAGCAGCCCAGGGACCUGAGACCAGCGUUCUCAAAUGAAGGUGGUGAGAAACAGAUUAACCAGAUCUGCUGUUAGAGGAGAAUUCUUCUGUCCUAGCUGUGUCUCUGUGAUCUGUGGAUGAGGGUGGGAAAGCACCACUCAGUCAAUUGGGGUGUACAAAAUGGAGUUUGAGAAGGUCUCACAUCCAGGUUGUUUUGAAGCAAAGUCCAAGCAUUGUAUCACUUCAUCUGCAAAUAUUUCAAUAAGUACCCAAAAGGGUUGGACUGAGUCCCAUGAAGCCAGAUCACUUCUGACUGCAAGGAGCUUGGAAAAGCAAGUAUCUGGAUCUUUUACCAGCUAAAUUUGGAGGUAGGUAUCUACCAGACUAGGGAAGAAGAGAAGAAUGGCUGUUGAGUGCAGAUCAAUUUGUUUCCACUGAAGUCUAUGGUUGAAAUAUUUAUGCAUAGCUGAGAUAUAGAAUUGUGCUGUAAAAUGUGGUUGAUUUGGUGGUAACUAUGUGGAUAGGUGUGGUAGGUUGAAGUGUCCCCUGCAAAUUUAUGUCUACCUGGGAUCUCAGAAUGUGACUUUAAUUGGAAAUAGAGUCUUGCUGAUGCAAUUAGUUAAGAAUUUUGAGAUGAGUCGUACUGGGCUUUCGGUGGGUGCUAAAUCCAAUGGCUGGCAUCCUUAUAAGAAGAGAGGACACACACACACACAGAACAGGCCAUUCAAAGAUGGAGGCAGAGCUUGGGGUUAUGCUGACAGGAGCCAAGGAAUGCUGGGGGGACAUUAGAAGCUGAAAGAAGCAGGGAAGGAUUUUCCUCUAUAGGUUCAGAGGAUGCAUGGCCCUGCUGACACCUUGAUUUCUGGCUUCCAGCCUCUAGAACUGAGAGAUAAUUAAUUUCUGCUGUAAUAAAUCACCCAGUUUGUGGUCAUUUACUGUGGCAACCUUAGGAAGCUAAAGCAAUAGGGUGAAGGGCAGUUAUCAGAAUAAGGGGAUGUGGUGCUGGUAGACAAUCCCAAAGGUGUCCACUGCAGAAUUUACAAAAGGAGCUUAGCAGUAGGUGGAGUCAUAGCUACAGAAUGAGAGCCAGGUUGGUAUAUAGCCUUGAUGUUAUGACAAGGCAUGAGAAUGUCAGCACCAGGAAGAGUGAGCACUGAGAAGUUGAGAAAAGAGGGAAGUCAUGAUGAGACAGGAGGACAAGCACCUAGCCUUUCAUCUAGACAAACUAAUUCCUAAGCAUUUCUACCUCCUUCCUGAAUCUGCCUGUGAAUGUCCUUCAUGUGAAAUGCUCGUCACCUCACUCUGCUUGACUAAUUC